UGGGGAAUAUUGCACAAUGGGGGAAACCCUGAUGCAGCGACGCCGCGUGGAGGAAGAAGGUCUUCGGAUUGUAAACUCCUGUUGUUGAGGAAGAUGAUGACGGUACUCAACAAGGAAGUGACGGCUAACUACGUGCCAGCAGCCGCGGUAAAACGUAGGUCACAAGCGUUGUCCGGAAUUACUGGGUGUAAAGGGAGCGCAGGCGGGAAGACAAGUUGGAAGUGAAAUCUAUGGGCUCAACCCAUAAACUGCUUUCAAAACUGUUUUUCUUGAGUAGUGCAGAGGUAGGCGGAAUUCCCGAUGUAGCGGUGGAAUGCGUAGAUAUCGGGAGGAACACCAGUGGCGAAGGCGGCCUACUGGGCACCAACUGACGCUGAGGCUCGAAAGUGUGGGUAGCAAACAGGAUUAGAUACCCUGGUAGUCCACACCGUAAACGAUGAUUACUAGGUGUUGGAGGAUUGACCCCUUCAGUGCCGCAGUUAACACAAUAAGUAAUCCACCUGGGGAGUACGACCGCAAGGUUGAAACUCAAAGGAAUUGACGGGGGCCCGCACAAGCAGUGGAGUAUGUGGUUUAAUUCGACGCAACGCGAAGAACCUUACCAAGUCUUGACAUCCCUUGACGAUGCUGGAAACAGCAUUUCUCUUCGGAGCAAGGAGACAGGUGGUGCAUGGUUGUCGUCAGCUCGUGUCGUGAGAUGUUGGGUUAAGUCCCGCAACGAGCGCAACCCUUAUGGUCAGUUACUACGCAAGAGGACUCUGGCCAGACUGCCGUUGACAAAACGGAGGAAGGUGGGGAUGACGUCAAAUCAUCAUGCCCUUUAUGACUUGGGCUACACACGUACUACAAUGGCGUUAAACAAAGAGAAGCGAGACCGCGAGGUGGAGCAAAUCUCAAAAAUAACGUCUCAGUUCGGACUGCAGGCUGCAACUCGCCUGCACGAAGCUGGAAUCGCUAGUAAUCGCGAAUCAGAAUGUCGCGGUGAAUACGUUCCC
rnacentral:rRNA from 1 species